ensembl:snRNA U6 U6 spliceosomal RNA
GUGCUUGCUUUGAUAGCACAUAUACUAAAAACAGGAACAAUACAAAGAAUAUUAUCAUCGACCCUAUACAUGAAUGACAUGCAAAUUUGUAAAGCAUUCUGUAUUUGA